rnacentral:tRNA from 2 species
GGAGGGCUGUCCGAGCGGCCGAAGGAUCCGGUCUUGAAAACCGGCAGACAGAAAUGUCUCGGGGGUUCGAAUCCCCCGCCCUCCGCCA